UUCCGGUUGAUCCUGCCGGACCCUAUUGCUUUCGGGGUGGGACUAAAACAUGCAAGUCGAGCGCCUUCAAGCUAUGGUGAAGGCGCGGCAAACGGCUCAGUAACACGUGGCCAACCUACCCUUGGGACGGAGACAACCCCGGGAAACUGGGGCUAAUCCCCGAUAGGUAAGGAAUCCUGGAAUGGAUCUUUGCUGAAAGGGCGUCUAGACCAUGCUUCUUGACGUCGCCCAAGGAUGGAGCCGCGGCCGAUCAGGUAGUUGGCGAGGCAACGGCUCACCAAGCCUAUAACCGGUACGGGCCGUGAGAGCGGUAGCCCGGAGAUGGGCACUGAGACAAGGGCCCAGGCCCCACGGGGCGCAGCAGUUGCGAAAACUCCGCAAUGCGCGAAAGCGUGACGGGGCUACCCCGAGUGCCGCCCGUUGAGGGCGGCUUUUCCACGGUGUAAGGAGCCGUGGGAAUAAGGAGAGGGCAAGACUGGUGUCAGCCGCCGCGGUAAUACCAGCUCUCCGAGUGGUGGGGACGAUUAUUGGGCUUAAAGCGUUCGUAGCCGGCUUAACAAGUCUUCCGUUAAAUCCAACGAUCUAAUCGUUGGGCUGCGGGAGAUACUGUUGGGCUAGGAGGCGGGAGAAGCCGACGGUAUUCUCGGGGUAGGGGUGAAAUCCUGUAAUCCCGGGAGGACCACCAGUGGCGAAGGCGGUCGGCUAGAACGCGCUCGACGGUGAGGGACGAAAGCUGGGGGAGCGAAUCGGAUUAGAAACCCGAGUAGUCCCAGCUGUAACGAUGCGGGCUAGGUGUUGGGGUGGGCACGAGCCACUUCAGUGCCGAUGGGAAGCAAUUAAGCCCGCCGGCUGGGAGUACGGCCGCAAGGCUGAAACUUAAAGGAUGGGCGGGGGAGCCACCACAAGCGUGAAGCUUGCCGUUAAUGGA
rnacentral:rRNA from 1 species